rnacentral:rRNA from 1 species
UACAGGGGGGGCAAGCGUUGUUCGGAAUUACUGGGCGUAAAGGGCUCGUAGGCGGCCAACUAAGUCCGACGUGAAAUCCCCAGGCUUAACCUGGGAACUGCGUCGGAUACUGGAUGGCUUGAAUUCGGGAGAGGGAUGCAGAAUUCCAGGUGUAGCGGUGAAAUGCGUAGAUAUCAGGAAGAACACCCGUGGCUAAGGCGGUUCUCUAGUACGGUACUGACGCUGAGACGCGAAAGCGUGGGGAGCGAACAGG